rnacentral:rRNA from 1 species
CGCAAUGGGCGAAAGUCUGACGGAGCGACGCCGCGUGAUUGAUGAAGCUUUUCGGAGUGUAAAGAUCUUUUAUGAGGGAAGAAGUUUAUUGACGGUACCUCAUGAAUAAGGGGCUCCUAAUCUCGUGCCAGCAGGAGCGGUAAUACGAGAGCCCCGAGCGUUAUCCGGAAUUAUUGGGCGUAAAGGGUGCGUAGGUGGCAGUGUUAGUCGUUUGUCAAAUCUCUGGGCUUAACCCAGAAACCGCGAACGAAACGGCACAGCUAGAGAGUGUGAGGGGUGAAUGGAACUCAUGGUGUAGGGGUAAAAUCCGUUGAUAUCAUGGGGAACACCAAAAGCGAAGGCAAUUCACUGGCACAUAUCUGACACUCAAGCACGAAAGCGU